CACGGCUCCAGCGGCGAAGGACAGAGAGUUAGCUUGGGAGAAAAUAGCUGCUCGAGUCAAUGCGUGCAAUCCUGCAGGCAUUAAAAGAACAUGGCAGCAGCUGAAAAUGAAAUAUAAAAACAUAAUUCAAUCAGCCAACAGAAAGAAGGCAGAGGCUCGCAAAACGGGGGGAGGACCUGCACCACCACCACCUCUGACAAAUGCAGAGGAGAUGGCCCUGGGCCUGAAUGCUGGAAGGCCAAUGGCUGAGUCCUUAGGGAGAGGGACUUCAUCAGAGCCAGUCACUCCAGAAGAUUUAAGUGCCUUCAUAAAAUAUUCUGAUGGUAAAAUUAGUCUUUUGGAGCCUCCUGUCCCAACAGAACCACAGGCAGUUGAUGAUGGGGAUGAAGAAACAGUUUCUGCUGCCACAGAAAUGCCUACAGAGAGUGUGGAAGAACAGCAAGAGGAUGGUCCAUCAACCUCUGGUGCACAGAUGAACACAUUGCCAGUUAAGGAGUUAUAUAGACUUCUUCUUAUUAAAAAGAUAGAAAAAAACAGCAAAGAACUUGUAUACUUGGACCGCCAGAUCCAAAAGGCAGAUCUGGAAAUUGAGAUUCUGAAACUAAAGCUAGAGGUGAGUGCAUGGUCACAGGUGAAUUCUAAGUAUUGAAAAUAUAUUAAAUUCUAUUUUUUUUUUAUGUUUAGGAAAUAAAGAACACCAUAUAAAUUGC
ensembl:lncRNA